UAUUUCGCUAAGGACAUUCUUCGGAGUGGCCUCGUUUUAGGACGCUUGUCCGCUUCCCAAUACAAGUUCCACCUCGUGGACAUGACUUUUUAUUAUCUGGCCUCAAAUCAGGUAGGACUACCCGCUGAACUUAAGCAUAUCAAUAAGCGGAGGAAAAGAAACUAACAAGGAUUCCCCUAGUAACGGCGAGUGAAGCGGGAAAAGCUCAAAUUUGAAAUCUGGUAGCCUCAGGCUGCCCGAGUUGUAAUCUAUAGAAACGUUUUCCGCGUUGGCCCAUGUACAAGUCUCCUGGAAUGGAGCGUCAUAGAGGGUGAGAAUCCCGUCCUUGACAUGGACUACCAAUGCUUUGUGAUACGUUUUCAAAGAGUCGAGUUGUUUGGGAAUGCAGCUCAAAAUGGGUGGUAAAUUCCAUCUAAAGCUAAAUAUUGGCGAGAGACCGAUAGCGAACAAGUACCGUGAGGGAAAGAUGAAAAGCACUUUGGAAAGAGAGUUAAACAGUAUGUGAAAUUGUUGAAAGGGAAACGAUUGAAGUCAGUCAUGUCUAUUGGACUCAGCCGGUUCUGCCGGUGUACUUCCUUUAGAUGGGGUCAACAUCAGUUUUGAUCGCUGGAAAAGGGCAGGAGGAAUGUAGCACUCUCGGGUGAACUUAUAGCCUUCUGUCGUAUACAGUGGUUGGGACUGAGGAACGCAGCAUGCCUUUAUGGCCGGGGUUCGCCCACGUACAUGCUUAGGAUGUUGACAUAAUGGCUUUAAACGACCCGUCUUGAAACACGGACCAAGGAGUCUAACAUAUCUGCGAGUAUUUGGGUGUCAAACCCGA
rnacentral:rRNA from 1 species